rnacentral:rRNA from 1 species
CCUACGGGAGGCAGCAGUGGGGAAUAUUGCACAAUGGGGGAAACCCUGAUGCAGCGACGCCGCGUGAGUGAAGAAGUAUUUCGGUAUGUAAAGCUCUAUCAGCAGGGAAGAAGAAAGACGGUACCUGACUAAGAAGCCCCGGCUAACUACGUGCCAGCAGCCGCGGGAAUACGUAGGGGGCAAGCGUUAUCCGGAUGUACUGGGUGUAAAGGGAGCGUAGACGGCUGUGCAAGUCUGAAGUGAAAGCCCAGGGCUCAACCCUGGGACUGCUUUGGAAACUGUGGAGCUAGAGUGCUGGAGAGGUAAGUGGAAUUCCUAGUGUAGCGGUGAAAUGCGUAGAUAUUAGGAGGAACACCAGUGGCGAAGGCGGCUUACUGGACAGUAACUGACGUUGAGGCUCGAAAGCGUGGGGAGCAAACAGGAUUAGAUACCCUGGUAGUC